GCGACACUAGCUCAGUUGGCAGAGCGCAACCUUGCCAAGGUUGGGGUCACGAGUUCGAACCUCGUGUGUCGCUCCA
rnacentral:tRNA from 1 species